ACGAGCAUGUGCAGGUGCGUGUGUGUGGGCUGCACACACACACACACACACACACACACACACACACACACACACACACACACA
rnacentral:miRNA from 1 species